rnacentral:rRNA from 1 species
AUUGAACGCUGGCGGCAUGCCUUACACAUGCAAGUCGAACGGUAACAGGUCUUCGGAUGCUGACGAGUGGCGAACGGGUGCGUAAUACAUCGGAACGUGCCCAGACGUGGGGGAUAACGAGGCGAAGGCUUUGCUAAUACCGCAUACGAUCUAAGGAUGAAAGCAGGGGACCGCAAGGCCUUGCGCGUUUGGAGCGGCCGAUGGCAGAUUAGGUAGUUGGUGGGAUAAAAGCUUACCAAGCCGACGAUCUGUAGCUGGUCUGAGAGGACGACCAGCCACACUGGGACUGAGACACGGCCCAGACUCCUACGGGAGGCAGCAGUGGGGAAUUUUGGACAAUGGGCGAAAGCCUGAUCCAGCAAUGCCGCGUGCAGGAUGAAGGCCUUCGGGUUGUAAACUGCUUUUGUACGGAACGAAAAGGCUCUGGCUAAUACCUGGGGCACAUGACGGUACCGUAAGAAUAAGCACCGGCUAACUACGUG